CAAAUUAGAGCUUGACAAUAAGCAUUUCAUUUACAUUGAAAAGAUAUUAAUUAUAUAAUUAGUUUGA
rnacentral:tRNA from 1 species